GACGAACGCUGGCGGCGUGCUUAACACAUGCAAGUCGAACGGAAAGGCCCUGCUUUUGUGCGGUGCUCGAGUGGCGAACGGGUGAGUAACACGUGAGUAUCCUGCCCUUGACUUUCGGAUAACUUCAGGUAACUGGGGCUAAUACCGCAUAGGAUCUCCUGCUGCAUGGUGGGGGUUGGAAAGUUUCGGCGGUUGUGGAUGGACUCGCGGCUUAUCAGCUUGUUGGUGGGGUAGUGGCUUACCAAGGCUUUGACGGGUAGCCGGCCUGAGAGGGUGACCGGCCACAAUGGGACUGAGAUACGGCGCAGACUCCUACGGGAGGCAGCAGUGGGGAAUAUUGCACAAUGGGCGGAAGCCUGAUGCAGCAACGCCGCGUGCGGGAUGACGGCCUUCGGGGUGUAAACCGCUUUCGCCUGUGACGAAGCGUGAGUGACGGUAAUGGGUAAAGAAGCACCGGCUAACUACGUG
rnacentral:rRNA from 1 species